CCUACGGGUGGCUGCAGUGAGGAAUAUUGGUCAAUGGCCGGAAGCCUGAACCAGCCAAGCCGCGUGAAGGACGAAGGUGCCAAGCAUUGUAAACUUCUUUUGUCAAGGGACAACAUCAUGCUCGAGAGCCUGACCGAGGGUACCUUAAGAAUAAGCAUCGGCUAACUCCGUGCCAGCAGCCGCGGUAAUACGGAGGACGCGAGCGUUAUCCGGAUUUAUUGGGGUUAAAGGGUGCGUAGGCGGACUGUUACGUCAGUUGUGAAAGUUUGGGGCUCAAACGUAAAAUUGCAGUUGAUACUGGCAGCCUUGAGUACAGUAGAGGCAGGCGGAAUUCGUGGUGUAGCGGUGAAAUGCUUAGAUAUCACGAAGAACCCCGAUUGCGAAGGCAGCCUGCUGGACUGUAACUGACGCUGAUGCUCGAAGGUGUGGGUAUCAAACAGGAUUAGAUACCCUUGUAGUC
rnacentral:rRNA from 1 species